rnacentral:lncRNA from 1 species
AGGAGAAAACGUUGAGCUUACGAGCAUGGCUUUGAUUUUUUUUUUGUUGAGGCUGUGGUGUAUGGUCUUUGGAAAAAGAGUUGUGAGAUCCUGUUGAAACUAUAGCAACUUGGGGAGCGAACUGCUGUAUGUGGCCUCCAUUAGAAGAGGCAUUUGAACUGUUGUGUUUGAUUAAUUUCGGGCGAGUUGAUUCCAUAUUGUUUAAAUUUACAUGAUCUUCAACUUGUCACUGCUUUUGGAAAGAGGAAGAAGGCAUGCUUUCCAUACCCUGCGAUUGAGAAACAGAAGAUCCAUCUAACAAACCCUUUGAUGACUCCGAUUUCGUAAAAGCUCUAGCCGAAUCAGACAAUGCUGGCCAAGAGUGUGCAUCCAUAACCGGCCGUACCUCUGAAGCUGCACCAUUGGAGGAAGGCUUAUUCCAAGCAGGUCUUGUGCAUAUAUGUUCAUAGUUGAAGAAUGGUUUCCAAUUUGUCAAACAAAUUUUGAUGGCAGUUCACAAGGUGUCAUCCAUUUAGCUUCUGCUGCACCCAAAAUCCCUGUGCUACUGAAUAUAGAAGCCUUGCAAGAGUACUCAGUUGAAGGUGUGAGGUUUUCUAAUUUGAAUCUUUUCUCGGGCCUCAAAACAAUGAAAGUCGGUUGUUCGGGGUAGUCCGUUGAUGAUAUUCUAUGCCAAAGCCUGCAGCCUAGAAAGUUCUUUAAGAGUUUGUCUUUGUAUUCAAGCACACUGACCAUUGAGGUGGGAAGACACUCUUCGAAAUGUAAAGAACAUGUUGGUGCUUCUUUCUUUUCUUCACAACUAGAAAAGAGUUCAGAAAACUUUAAAUCAAAACAUUCAACUGUAGUAGAGCACAACUUCUGAACCUCAACACCGCAUGAGAGGCUACUCACAAUUCCACGCGUCAUCCUAGCAUAUACGUGAUCCAGAGGUCCCGCUUCAUUCUCCAAUAAUUCGAGAGUGGUUUCUACGAUCUUAUGCACUUCCGUGUAUACUUUCGUUCCUGUGAGAAUUCUGUGGGCUAAGGAAAUUCGCACAGAGAGUAUAUCCACUCUUCUUGCUUCUCUGGCAACCAAUAAUUGCUUUCUCCAUGUCCUCAUUAAUUCAUUAAUUUUUCCACAAGAAACACAACAGAAGCUUCCAUCCAAGGUUACACCGGGACUUCCUUUCAAAAUUCAAGACAUUUGAUUACUCUAAGCACAUUGCAAAUGACACGACAUUCUAUAUGACUCUUCAUUCGGUUUAUCAGAGGUGCAGGUCAACCACAAACUAGGAUCCUUGUUAUCGUUGUAACAACGACAUAUACAACAAGAACAUCUCUUGCAAAAUGAAUCUUCUGGUUUCAGUGUAGCUUUGCAUGCCACAUUCCGACAAACUAAGGUUUUCGUUGUUUCCUCAUUUGUGUUCUCUAUUUGAACAUUACGUAAAUCAAGAGAAGGGGGUCCUUUUUUCCUUUUAUAUCCUACACAACUUUUGGCAGGAGAAUGAGCAAGAGCAUUUUGGUCGACGUACAAGUUGGAUUUCUGAGAAAUUAACUUCAGAAGAUAUUCUAUCAUUUGACCCUUAGUAUAUCCAGUGUACUUCCUUUCUUUGCCUAAUUCAGCACAGAUUAAUUCUAGGAGUUCCCGGCGAGUAAAUGAUUGAAGUAUAUCCGGGGCAUCUUUGGACUGACGAGCAACUUCAUGGACCAGUCUUUGCUUCUCUUGGAAAUUCAUAACACCGCAUUUUGCAGGGUCGAGAAAAAAACCCGUUGUUGGUAACGGUGAAAAGACACAUCUUAUUUUGGUGUUCGGCCAUGAUUAUUGUUGUUGGAAGAACAACAGAGUUUUAUCUGAGAAUAUGUAGCAUUACACUGAAAGAGAGAGAGAGAGAGAAGAGUGUCAUGUAAUUUGAGCAUUCAAUGUCAUGAUGAGUGAUUUGGCAUAUUAGUUGGAAUUAGUUUUCCUUGUAGUUUUGGAGUGUCUGCAGUGUUGGACAUUACUGCUUCUAUUUUCCACUUGCAGCUUUUUUCAAAUGCAUUUUCUUUUAUUUUUUAGUGUAAAUUGCUUAAUGGUUUAAGUGAUUUUGUUCCAAUUCCUAUUUUUUGGUGCAGGAAAUAUGCUACACGCAUGAUGAUUUCUCGCCGCAUGUUGUUCACCGAGAUGUGAAAACAAGUAUCAUUCUUUUGGAUUCAUAAUUCAAUGCAAAAGUUGUUGAUUUCGGUCUCUCCAGGUGACUGAUUAAACCAGAAGAACUUGCCACCCUGCCAACUGUGGCUGGCGCAUUUGGAUACAUUGCCCCAGUUAAAACAAUUUCGAAUUCCCGCUUUCUCAUAAAAUUCGACUAUCUUAAGUUAUUAGAUCUCAAUGUUUAUUUAGUGUAUGAAUUGCAGAAUAUGCUCAAACAAUUAGAGUCAAUGAGAAGAUAGAUGUUUACAGCUUUGGAGUAGUUAUUUUGGAACUGACAAAUGGAAAAGAAACUAAUCUAAAAAAAUGCCAGCCGGUAGACCAUCAAUGAAGGAAGUCUUGAAGAUAUUGAUCGGUUGCAGAGAUCCACAAGCAAGCCAAUGCAGAGAAGAUUGUUGAUAUUCAUGAUGAUGCUCCAUUCCUUAAGAACUUUGAUAGUGUGAUAAAACGCAUGCACGUUUGUAACGAACUUCGAACUGAUUUUUUUGACUAACAGUUACAGCUCCAUGUUUUCUCUUUUGAAGUGCAACAUUCACAUCAAACUUUAAAGAAAAUAAAUCCACAGCUUAAUAAACUAUGAAAAUUUGCUUCAACCUUCUCUUUGUUACUCUGUUCAAAUAGCCAACAAAUGAGAAGCUUAUAGGAUUCUAGAUGUGUUAAAUGAUUACAGUCCAUCAUAGAAUCCCACAAUCUCAAUGCUUCUUCGUGCAUUCCAACCUUGCAGCAACCACUUAGAAGAGAAAUAUGAAUAAUUUCAGAUGGAGAUAUUCCAUUUUCUCUCAUAUGGUUUAAUAACCCAAAGGCUACCGACAAGUAUUCCAUUUUGCGAAGUCCUAUGAUAAGCUUGUCGUAAGUCUUAAUGUUAGGCACACAACCACGUUCCAUCAUUUUCUCACAGAGCGUGGUUAUGAUUUCAAAGUCAGUUAUCCUCCAUAAAUCGGCAUUAUCAAUUGAAACAUUAUGUUUUUUUAACCAUUAGAUGCUUUAUUAGAAUGGAAUGUGUUUGAAUCGAAGGCUCACAACCUGUAUCAAACAUGCGUCCGAGAACACCAAAUGCAUUGUCUAGUUGUCCUAUACAUCCAUAAGCACUCAUUAAUAAAUUAUAGACCGUGCAGUCGGGUACUAUGCCUUUCUUCUUUAAUCUUGACCACCAUCUCUUCGGGCAUCGUAAUCUUCCUUGGCAGCAGACACACCGAAGUGUGUAGAAGUUACAAGUUUAGAACCUUUUAGGACUUGAAAUGAAAAACGCUCGUUGUGAAUGAGCAAGAAAAUGACGCUUUCAUGAAAUGAUGGUUGUGAGUGGAUGGAUGUGAUAAAAAUGAAUGAAGUAGCUGAAACAUGAAUGAGCAUGCAUUAGAUAUGGAAGCUUUCCAAUGUGAAUGAAAAAUGUGAGUGCAAAUUGAAUAUGACUUUUAUAGAAAUAUGAGAUGGAAUAUAGAUGGAAUCUCUUUGAAUUAAGAUCGAAAGGAAAAAUGAUGUUCUAUGAGAGAGACAAAACAUGGAUUGAAUUUAGACAUGAGAAUGAAAGUCAUGACAUUCCAAAUGAUUCUAUCAAAAUACAUCAAACAUCUAAAGCAAAAUAGAGAGGUAAAAAUCUAAUAGUCAUGGGAUGGCAAGUAGUGGCAAUUUCUAAACAACCAGUGUAGGUGGAUAGAUUCAUGACCGGUUGAAAUGGUCAUGAGGAGGAAAGAAAAUGAAUGAUUGAUGAAAAAAAUUCCAGGUCCAAAAUCAGGGUAUAAGAGUUGCCCAUAUUUAAACAUCCUCCACCAGAGGAAAAUGAAACAGCACUUUUCAUCGGAUCAGAGUGGGGGAUGGUUAAAUACUAUGGAGACCCAGAUUUUGAUCCUGAAAAAUGCAAAUGUUAUGAUAUGAUAUGCAUGGAUGCAGGAUUCUUUAUUUUUUUGAAUUUACCCGUUAGGGACACGGUGAAUCCUUAACAGGAGAUGUUACCGGACAGACCAAUCUGUGGGGAACUCUGAUGGCCCACAGAGAGAUAAAUACCAUAGGGUAAAACAAACCGCUGGGGAUAAUAAUCCUACUAGAGAGUCAGACACACAACAUGGGAGUACUCAAAGUGAAAGUUGACAAACGACACUUUGAAUACAAGAGAUUCCAGCAGUAAGUUCACACAUGACUUACUAAACCCGAAUAAAAAAAAUUCUACAACAGGUUCAUACAUGACUUGAUAACGCUGAAACAAUCAUAAAGAAGGAUUCUUCAAAACAGGUUCAUACAUGACCUGGUAAUACUGGAAUGAAAGCUCAACAGCAGGUUCAUACAUGACCUGACAAUGCUGGGGAAUAUCAAGAAGUUCUGACAACAGGUUCAGACAUGACCUAACAAACUCAGAAAAACUCAAAAGAGUAUAUCAACAGGUUCAUACAUGACCUGACAACACCAGGAAAUUCAAAGGAUUUUCAACAACAAGUUCAAACGUGAUCUAACAAUACUUGAAUAUUCAAGGAAUUUUCAACAACUGGUUCAAACAUGACCUGACAGUGUUAGGGGAUAUCAAAAAGUUCUGUAAACAGGUUCAAACAUGACCUAACAGCAUUGGAAAAUUCAAAGCAUUUCGACAAUAGGUUCAAACAUGACCUAAGAAUAUUAGAAAACCAAAGAAUUUUUAAUCAAGAGGUUCAUAUGUGACCUCAACACUUGGAUAUUCAAAGAAAGUUUCACUCACAGAUUCAUACAUGACCUGACGACACUUAGUAGAAAAACAAAGGGAGUUUUAUCAACAGGUUCAUACAUGGCCCAACGACACUGGAAAAUUCAAAGAAAAUACAUCCAUAGGUUCAUACAUGACCUGACAAUAUUGGGAAACACACAAAGCAAGUUUCAUUAACAGGUUCACACAUGACCUGACACCUUAGAGUACAUCUGACAAUUCUGGAGAUUUCUCACAAGAAAUUCAAAGAUUUUGGAGAUUCCUAACAGGGAAUUUAUGAAAAACAAAGAUAAACAGGAGUCUUCUUAUAAGUAGAUCAUCCGUGCAAAAGGCUAUGAUGAUUCUUUACAAAGAAAUCAAACAAAACCAACAUCAUUAGAGUUUUCUAACAUGAAAACCUCCAAGCUUCUGGGAAUUCCUCAAGAUGAUGAGUCAUACAUGACUUUCACGGAACCAUCAGGAAAGACAGGGUAAUUAAACUCUCUGUACGUGCCAAACAACAAUUGGACUUUUAACCGUAAGUAAUGGAUUACAACAUCACGGAACCAUCAGGAAAGACAGGGUAAUUAAACUCUCUGUACGUGCCAAACAACAAUUGGACUUUUAACCGUAAGUAAUGGAUUACAACCAACUUUUAACGGAUAGGUGCCAACAACAAUUGGACCUUGACUGUAAGCAAUGGAUUACAACCAGCUUUUAACAGAUUGGUGCCAACAACAAUUGGACUUUGACUGUAAGCAAUGGAUUACAACCAGCUUUUAACAGAUUGGUGCCAACAACAGUUGGACUUGAAAUGAUGUUGGCAACAACCAAACUUCAGAUAUCAAUUACAAAUGUAUUUACAAACAGACUGACAAUGAUGCCAACGAUGAUUUGAACUUUUGAAACGAUACUAGCGACAACUGGUCUUUGGGUCAAGGGAUAACAAUCAACAACGGGACCGAAGGGGUCACACACAUGGGUAUAGAGUACACUUUGAACCAUGCAUGUCUUGACUUUUGUUUUAUGCAUGAUAUAUGAAUGAUCAUGAUAUGCAAUGCUGACAAUAGGCAGACUGGGAGUUUGUAUGGACUGUUUACAGGGAUUCUAAUUCCUCAACACCAAUAACUCAAACCCGUACAAUUAACAGGCGUAUCCAGAGGAGAAUCUAUCAUGAUUGACAGUUAUAAAUAACCAAAGGUCCAUCCUUCCAGAGGAUUGAUAAGUUGUGUUCCAUGGAGAUUUUUGUUGGUGACACAUGAGCAUUACGCAAUCUUGAGACCUUCAGAAAAACAAAUGAUUUUCUCUUGAUUUUCACAUAUAUCAAAGUAAUUUUGUUCCUUUCACUAAAUUUCAAAUUUGUUUCAAGUUUCAAAAUUUCAUUAUUAACAAAUAAAUAACACUUUGCGUAACAAAGAAAAACAUAGAAGAACACAAUUAACAAUGAUUGAUAGGAAAAACUUGUAUUUUAUUCAAGAAUGGUAACACACAAAUGGCGUAGCUCCAUGGAAUGUUACAAUUUUGAAAAUGGCAAUAAGGAAAGGUUUACGUUGAAUUCAGUGGCCACUAAUAUCCCUAAUAGAUAUGAUUCCCCAAAACCUUACUUCUAAGGGGAGUAACUGGAUUGAUCUUCCGCCUCGAAUUCUUUUGUGUCAAUCAGUAACAACUGAUGCAGUUUAUGCCUUUUGCCCCUAACUUUUGCCUGGAUCUCCCUUUCGGGUUUUCAAUCCACCGGGACGCUUUUUUUUUUUGCCUAAGUUGCCCUUUCAGGUUUUCAACUUAGCGAGCUAUCAUUUUUUUAUUCAUCCCUUAUUUCUGCCUGAAUCACCCCUUCGGGUUUUUGAUCCACCGGGAUACCCUUUUUUUGCCUAAAUCGCCCUUUCAGGUUUUCGACUUAGUGGGUUUUUAUUAGGCAUAGUAUUUUUUAACUGCGUCAGAGUUCACGGGGUGUGAGAGCUCUUCAUCAUCCAUAGUUGUGAGAAUCAAGGCACCUCCGGAGAAGGCUUUCUUCAUAACAUAUGGGCCUUCAUUAUUGGGAGUCCACUUCCCACGUGAGUCCUUGUGUAGUAGCAAGAUCUUCUUGAGCACGAGGUCUCCUUCUCUGAAUUCACGAACAUGUACUUUCUUGCCAAAAGCCCUCUUGAGCCGUUUCUGGUAUAACUGUCCAUGGCACAAAGAAGUCAUUCGCUUCUCAUCUAUGGGGUUUAACUGAUCAAAUCUAUUUUGAAUCCAUUCAGCCUCUUCUAGCUUGGUCUCCAUCAAGAUUCUCAUUAAAGGUAUCUCCACUUCAAUUGGGAGAACCGCUUCCAUCCCAUAUACCAAAGAGAACGGGGUUGCCCCUGUUGAAGUGCGGACGGAAGUCCGGUAUCCAUGCAGUGCAAAGGGUAGCAUUUCGUGCCAAUCCUUAUAGGUUUUCACCAUUUUCUACAGGAUCUUCUUGAUGUUUUUAUUAGCAGCUUCAACAGCGCCAUUCAUCUUUGGACGAUAUAGUGAAGAGUUAUGGUGCUCAAUCUUGAAGCUUUCGCAUAGUUCCUUCAUGGUCUUAUUAUUCAGAUUCGUCCCAUUAUCUGUGAUGAUCCGGCUUGGAACUCCAUAACGGAAAAUGAUCUCUUUCUUGAGGAACCGUGCAACCACUUGUUUUGUCACAUUAUCAUAAGAGGCGGCUUCUACCCAUUUGGUAAAGUAAUCAAUGGCAACCAGGAUGAAGCGGUGACCAUUGGAAGCUUUAGGCUCGAUGGCGCCAAUCAUGUCGAUGCCCCACAUUGACAUUGAGAAAGGCCAAGGUGACGUCAAAACAUUUAGUAGGGUCGGAGGCACGUGUACCUUGUCGGCAUAGAUUUGGCAUUUAUGACAUUUUCUAGCAUAAUUGAAGCAGUUGGAUUCCAUGGUCAACUAGUAAUGACCAGCUCUCAAAAUCUUCUUGGCCAUGGCAUGCCCAUUGGCAUGAGUUCCAAAGGAUCCUUCAUGAAUCUUCUUGAUCAACAAGUCCACUUCACGUCCAUCCAUGCAUCUGAGCAGAAUCAUGUCGUGGUUUCUCUUGUAUAACACGCCAUUGCUUAAGAAGAAUUUGGAUGCUAACUUCCUCAAUGUUUUCUUGUCAAGGGCUGUUGCAUCUGUUGGAUAUUCUUGAUUUUGCAAAAUACAUUUGAUGUCGUGAAACCAAGGUUUACCAUCGGCUUCCUCUUCAAUCAACUGGCAGUAGGCAGGCUCAACUUUCCGCUCGAUCUGAAUGAGAGGCGCUUCAUUAUGGAAUCUAACUUGGUACAUUGAAGCCAACAUAGCCAAAGCAUCAGCAAUUUGAUUCUCAGUUCUCGGUAUACGACGGAAAGUGAUUUCGUCAAAGUAUUUUAUUAGUUCCAUGACAUAGGCACGAUAUGGGAUCAACUUGGUAUCACGGGUUUCCCAUUCGCCCUUGACUUGGUGUAUCACCAAGGCUGAGUCUCCACAUGCUUCGAGGAUUUUGAUUCGGAGGUCAAUUGCUGCUUCAAUGCCUAGGACGCACGCCUCAUAUUCUGCUAUAUUAUUUGUGCAAUCAAAACACAACCUUGCUGUGAAAGGAGUGUACCCACCAUUCGGAUUCAAUAGAACAACUCCUACGCCAUGCCCCAUGUAAUUGGAGGAACCAUCAAACAUGAGCUUCCACCGAGAUCCGGGUUCAGGUCCUUCAUCAAGUCCUGGGAUUUCACAAUCUUUUACUACCAUAAUGUCUUCAUUUGGGAAGUCAAAUUUCAACGGCUGGUAGUCUUCAACAGGUUGGUUUUCCAGGUAAACAUAUAAUACGCUUCCUUUGAUGGCUUUCUGAGAUACAUAUUGGAUGUCAUACUCAGAUAGUAACAUCUGCCAACGGGCGAGUCUUCUAGUCAAAGCAGGCUUUUCAAAGAUAUACUUUAUUGGAUCCAUUUUUGAGAUCAAUAAAGUAGUGUGGAAAAUCAUGUAUUGUCUUAGACGACGAGCGGCCCAUGCUAAAGCACAACAAGUUUUCUCCAAGAGUGAAUAUCGGAUUUCACAAUCGGUAAAUCUCUUACUUAGAUAGUAGAUGGCAUGCUCCUUUCGGCCGGUUUCGUCAUGUUGUCCCAGCAUACAUCCCAUUGACUUUUCAAGUACAGUUAAAUACAUAAAGAGUGGUUUCCCCCGAAUAGGUGGAAUUAGAAUAGGGGGCUCUUGCAGGUAUUGUCUGAUCUUCUCAAAAGCCAUUUGGCAGUCAGAGUUCCAUUCAACUGCUUGGUCUUUUCUCAGCAGCUUGAAUAUAGGUUCAGACGUAGCAGUCAUAUGAGAUAUAAACCCAGAGAUAUAGUUCAAACGUCCCAGGAAUCCUCUAACUUCUUUCUCUGUACGUGGAGCAGGAAUUUCUUGUAUUGCCCUAACCUUGUCUAGAUCUACCUCAAUUCCUCGUUGACUAACAAUGAAACCGAGCAACUUUCCAGAUCGGACACCGAAGGUGCAUUUAGCAGGAUUCAGUCGUAGUUGAAAUUUUCGAAGACGCUCAAAUAGCUUUUGCAAGUGAUCUAUAUGAUCCUCUUCACUUUGGGAUUUUGCAAUCAUAUCAUCUACAUAAACCUCAAUUUCCUUAUGCAUCAUAUCAUGGAAAAGAGUGACCAUUGCUCUUUGGUAAGUUUCCCCAGCAUUUUUGAGACCGAAUGGCAUUACCUUGUAGCAAAAUGUUCCCCAAGGGGUGAUGAAUGUGGUCUUUUCCAUGUCUUCUGGAUCCAUCUUAAUUUGAUUAUAACCCGAGAAUCCGUCCAUAAAGGAGAAGACCGCGAACUUAGCAGUGUUGUCUACCAGAGUGUCAAUAUGUGGCAGGGGGAAAUCAUCCUUUGGACUAGCUUUAUUUAGAUCCCUUUAAUCAACACACAUCCUGACCUUUCCGUCCUUUUUGGGUACUGGUACAAUAUUAGCUACCCAUUGGGGGUACUUCGCAACUGCUAGAAAACCGGCAUGAAAUUGACGUUUCACCUCGUCACAAAUCUUUAGAGCCAUGUCGGGUCUUGCUCUUNNNNNNNNNNNNNNNNNNNNNNNNNNNNNNNNNNNNNNNNNNNNNNNNNNNNNNNNNNNNNNNNNNNNNNNNNNNNNNNNNNNNNNNNNNNNNNNNNNNNNNUUUUGCAAGUGAUCUAUAUGAUCCUCUUCACUUUGGGAUUUUGCAAUCAUAUCAUCUACAUAAACCUCAAUUUCCUUAUGCAUCAUAUCAUGGAAAAGAGUGACCAUUGCUCUUUGGUAAGUUUCCCCAGCAUUUUUGAGACCGAAUGGCAUUACCUUGUAGCAAAAUGUUCCCCAAGGGGUGAUGAAUGUGGUCUUUUCCAUGUCUUCUGGAUCCAUCUUAAUUUGAUUAUAACCCGAGAAUCCGUCCAUAAAGGAGAAGACCGCGAACUUAGCAGUGUUGUCUACCAGAGUGUCAAUAUGUGGCAGGGGAAAUCGUCCUUUGGACUAGCUUUGUUUAGAUCCCUAUAAUCAACACACAUCCUGACCUUGCCAUACCUUUUGGUUACUGGUACAAUAUUAGCUACCCAUUGAGGGAACUUCGCCACUGCUAGAAAACCGGCAUCAAAUUGACGUUUCACCUUGUCACAAAUCUUGAGAGCCAUGUCGGGUCUUGCUCUUCAGAGCUUCUGCUUCAUUGACGGGUAAUCUGGCUGUAGUAGUAGCUUGUGGACAACAAUAUCAGUAUCUAAACCUGGCAUAUCCUGAUAUGACCAAGCAAAUACAUCUACAUAUUCUUGUAGCAACUCGAUCAAUCUUUCUUUGAUGCUUGCCCCAAGUGUAGUCCCAACUUUGACCUCUUUCUUGUCUUCCUUAGUGCCAAGGUUGAUUGUUUCCACUAGUUCUUGAUGCGGCUGAAGGGCUUUUGACUCAUGCUCGAGCAGCCUUUCCAAUUCUUCAGGGAAAUCACAAUCUUCCUCACUAUCCUCUUCCGCUUGGUAGAUGGGGAGUUCAAAGUUAUAGGAAGUAGUGGGGUCAUCGAAUUCAACUAGUUUAUUGGUUAUUCUGCAUGUUUUUUAAAUGAUGGUUUUUUAGAAAAGAUGGAAAUGAAAUGCAAAAGAAUUAAAAAUAUUUUUGUAGUUUUGAAAGGAUUGCCAUUUUAAGGAAAGAAAAACAAAUGAAUGAACGAUAAGAAUUUGAACAAAAUGCUCUUUAUUUGUCAUAAUGAUUUUGAAAUUUAAAGUGGCCCUACAAGUGAUCCAUUAGCCUUGGGCAGAGCUAAGGAUUUUCAAAAAACAAAGGAAAACACAAUUACCUUGACAUAGGAAAAACUUCUGGAAUCUCAACUGCUUCCCAAUUUGUUAAGGCUGCUUCACGCUGGUAUAUCAGAUUUGAUGCUUCUCCAUCUUCAGUGUCAUCUUCAACGACACCAACUUGAUUUCCAUGGAUAAAUCAUGUGCUUAGGAAAAUUUCUUGUAUGCUCCGCACGCGGUCCUUUGCAGGGACCAGGGAUCCUCCCUUAGUAGAAGGCUUGUACCCCAAACCAAAACGAUCAUUUUUCUCGCUGACAUUGAUGACCUGCCCCCAACCUGCAGGGCCUCCACUUUCAACUGCUGACCUUGCACUAUUCAAAGAGGCGAACGACAAACUGGUUUUCCCAAUAGGCUAUUUUACCUCAGCAAGUGUGGCAUUGGAUAUUUCAAGUGCUUGGAAAGAGGUCUCUAAGGCAUCCUCAUCAGCCUCGAUAUAACGGAAAGAGGAGAGUUGACUGAUGAUAAAAUCUUCUUCACCCGAGACAAUUGUCAUCGACAAAACUUCCAUUCGAUGCAAAGUAGCAAGUCACUCUCCCCAGCAGCAUGUAACCAUAGACGUCCCCAAAGGCAACUGUAAGCCGGGAUAUGUCAUUGACUUGGAAUAUUGAUGGGAAUGACAUGCGGUCAGGCGAUUUGGAUUGGUACUUCGACCUCCAACUUACUGUCCUUCGAGAACCAUCAAAUGCUUUUACCACAAGUGCACUAGGUUUCAAUUCCGAACCUUGGUAAGAUAAUUUAGCAAGUGCCCUCUUUGGUAGAACAUUGAGGGACGAUCCAGUGUCAACUAAAACCCUAGCCAGAACAUUUUCUUGCCACUUUAUGGAUACAUGUAAGGCGCGAUUGUGAUUCUUCCCUUCCUUGGGUAGCUCUUCAUUGCUGAAACUUAGAGUGUUGUAGGCUGUGAUAUUGGUGACCACCCCAUCGAAUUGGCCAACCGUUAUAUCUUGGGUAACAUGAGUUUGAGCAAGCACUUUCAGUAGAGCCUCCCUAUGAGCUUGGGAAUUCAGAAGCAAGGACAAGAUAAAUAUUUUUGACGGUGUCUGAUGUAACUGAUCGACUAUCUUGUAGUCACUUUUCUUUAUUAUUCUUAGAAAUUCACUCGCUUCAUCUGCUUGCACUGCCGGCUAUGCCCCUCCAUACUCUGGGGCUAAAUUUGCAGUUACAGUUUCCCUUGUUGGUUCUUGAGGAAUUAUAUUAACAUUGGGAGUAUAAAUCCGACCGCUGCGGGUCAUUCUGCUCGUCCCUGCGAUGCUAGUGAUAUUGGUGUCAAUAUUCUCCAAGCUUUUCUCACCUUCAACAUCUUUGGGUUCUUCAUCUACCACUCCAUCUACCACAGUUAUGUCAUAUUCCCAAGGUACCGCUUUGGUGCUUUCAAAGGGAAAGGGGGUAGGCAUACAAACUACCACGGGUGAUGGAUGAACAACAUCUUUUCUUUGAUAAGUUAUCUCAACAGGUUCUGGUAGAUUGAAAAAGGGUAUUGGUGCUUUCAAAGGGAAAGGGGGUAGGCAUACAAACUACCACGGGUGAUGGAUGAACAACAUCUUUUCUUUGAUAAGUUAUCUCAACAGGUUCUGGUAGAUUGAAAAAGGGUUCAAUGACUGAAACUUCCUCGUUUGUUACAGGACCACAAACUUGUAAAACACCUUGAUCCAUCAAGUUUUGAAUAUCAGUUCGUACCACUUUACAUCCCCUUGGAUGAACGACACAUUCUUCACAGUUGUCGUGACAUGUAUCAAUCGAACUAGCUCCCACCAAUCUUGCAUGGAGUGCUAGCAACGGAGUUUUAACAUCUUCAACAUUUUUGAUUAUACAAACAUCAGAAGCAUCCUCAACGGCAUUAACAUCACCAUGCGCCGGUAGAGGGUUACUUUUUACGUUGGGUCCAACAUCUCGGAAUGAAAGGAUCUUCUUCUCAACCAGCUCUCGCACAAUAUGCUUCAAAGCAUAACAUCCCUCUAGAUCAUGCCCAGGGGAACCCUUAUGGAAAGGACAAUGGGCAUCUUGGUUGUACCAUGGAGGUAAGGGAUUUGGUGGAGGACCCAAAGGUCUGGGAGUCACCAACCCUUUCUACAGUAACGAUGGGUAUAACUCAGUGUACUUCAUAGGGAUUGAAGCGAAAGGAGGUCUACCUCUUUGUACCCUAUUUUGAUUUGGAAUAUUUUUUGGACGUGAAGCCUGUGCCCUCGGCUGUUGAUAAGAGGGUGGCAUGGAUGCUUGCUGGUAUACUGGUGCUUGUUGAAUAGGUUGAUAGACAGGAGCUUGUGAUUGGUUGAAAUUUGGUGUGACUGCUGCCACAUACGGUUGUUGAAUAUAUUGCACUGGAUAAGUUGGUUGUUGCUGAGAAAAUUGAUGUUGCUUCUUCCUAGAAUGACUCCUUCUUUGACUGGUUGACAUUGCGUUUAUUUCACCCUCUUUCUUCCUUUGGAAACUUCCAGAAAACUUUUUGACAUUAUUACCAGAUGUUUUAGAGGUGGUUAUCAUUUUUCCAUUCUUCAAUCCAAGCUCGACCUUUAUGCCCACAACAAACAAGUCAGAGAAGCUUGCCGAUACACUAAUCACCAUCCUUUUAUAGAACAUGGGCUUUAUUGUAUCCAUGAACCAAUCUGCUAACUCCUUCUCAACAAGGGGUGGUUCGACUUGCGAGGCCACUUCCCUCCAUUGUUAUGCAUAUUCCUUAAAAGACUCGUUAUCUUUCUGGGACAUGCUGAGCAAUUGCCUCCUAUCCGGGGCCAUAUCCAUGUUAUACUUAUAAUGUUGGAUGAAAGCAUCAGAUAAGUCUUGGAAACAACGAAUUCUACUUUGAUCAAGGCUUAAGUACCACUUAGAGGGAGCACCCCUCAAGUUGUCUUGGAAGCAAUGUAUCAUAAGUUUAUCGUCCUCCACGUGCGCCGCCAUUUUUCGAUAGUACAUAAUAAGGUGACUUUUAGGACAUGAGUGGCCCUCGUACUUAUCGAAAUCCGGGGUCUUGAAUUUUGCGGGAAUCACGAGACCAGACACUAGGCACAUCUCCCUAGCAGCAACACCAAAAACUUGGUCACCUUCCAUAGCCCUUAACCUUUUCUCAAGAAUAUGAAAUUCUCUUUCAUCCCUCUUAUGUCUUCCUGCCUUUCAUCCUCUUCGUCCGAAAAGUCUGGGGCAUGCUGUUGAUCCUCAAAAUAAGGUUGCACGUGUGUACGGGCGAGAGGUGGUGCAAACGUGUGGACCACUGGAUGAGUUUCAUCGAUAGUUGGUAGAGGAGUCGUCUGCUGAGUGGAUUGUACAAAACCAGGGGUGCCUUCAACUGGAGGUGUGAAACCGGGAGGUAAACCAUAGACUGGCCAGGUGGUUGGUACUUUCCUUGCAGGUUCGGGUUCAAUCGUAGGACCGGUGAUUUCUGAAACGACCGUCGUUUGGGUGUCCAACUUAGCCCUAAUGACUUGUAGUAUCUCCAUGACUUGACCCAUGUUUCCUCAUAGGUCUUCGAGUUCUGAGCUUACUCUCUCCAAUUCUUGUUCUUGAUCCGCCAUUCUUUGACGAGCGUUGGCUCUGGUGUUGUAGUGGUGUUGAGGACUCAGUGUGGAACUGAAGAAGACACAAAAAUGCGUUUUUUGUUUGAAGAACGACAUGAGUGUAUGUUAUGGGUGCAUUUUGUACAAAGCUCUUAGUUAUCUUUAUUAUUUAUUCCAGCAAUGUUAGAAUAUAAGAAUAACAUGUAAUAAUUGAGACCCAAAAUGACAACUUCCAUUAAUUAAAAUCAAAUUCGAAUACAAAAGAUUUAACUUCAAGUACACAUGAUUCGAAUACAAAAAGAUUUAAACACCAACAAUUCAAAUUCAAGUACAAGUAAACUUAAGCUCUGUCUCAGCUCUUAUGAUUGUACCAAGAUCUGUGGUGAGCUCCUUCAUCAUUUUCUUGAUAAACUUGACGAAAUUGAAAACUUGAGGAGGCGUGUUUUCUGGACACAUACACCAAUCUUCUUCCUGGAGUUUUUCUGGGAGUUCCAACAUGUUGAGGUUAACAAACCUAGCUAAGUCGCGGAACUUGCCAUUCCAUUCAACAUAGAGUUCUUGGAGUUUCUUGAUGACCUGUUGAUCUUCAUCUAAGGUUGCUCUAGCCUCUCUAUACAAACUUUUCCAGUACACACAAUCAUUCUUUUGGAGCAAGUAAGCUGCAUCACCUUCUUGGCUCUCCAAAACUGCAAACCUCCUAUUGGCUUCUUCCAACUGGUACCUGAGAUGGUGACAGUUUCUUUCAGCUUCUUCCUUUUGGAGUAUCUCGCGCGACAACUUUUCCUUGCAUUUCUUUAGAGUGUCCCUCAGUUCACGGAUCUGAGCCUCAAAGUCGAGCUUAAUUUCUUUCUUAUCCAUAAGGGAUUUAUCCAACAUUCUCCCUAACUCACAGAUCCUAUACUCAACUUUCUUGAGCUCUUCCUUCCUGGUUCGGAUCACUAAUAUGGAACCUAUAAGGAUAUGAUCAAGAUCAUCCUUCUGGUCUUCCAAUAGUCUGGCUCUCUUGUUACUAUCCUCAAGUUCUUGGGCUUUUCCCUUACGUUCGUCUUUCAAAUUCUAAUUUUCCAAGAUAACUCGGUUCAUCUGAAUCCGUAAUUCAGUAUUCUCCAAUUCGAGCUCCUUAACCUUAGUAGUGGGUUUCUCCAUGUCCUCAAGGAGUAUGGGCUUGGGCUCAGGAGUUUUGGGAAAGGCUAAAGCCUUUAAGAUAAAUGGCAAAUGGAUUUCCCCAACUCUUUCUUUCACCCAUCGAGUGUAAGGUUCUCUGGCGAGAAUGUUUCUUUUUCUAAACUCUUUACCCUUCCUAACAACCUUUAACCAAGCCUUUCGUACUGCUCUUACAUCAGGAUUGCUUGCUUCGAUGUCAAAGAGCACAAAUGGUUGUAAGUCCUUUACGUCAGGAGGACCGUCCAUGCAGUAACCGUGUUGCAUUCGAGAUAACAUAGGGUUAUAAUUGAUGCAACCCUUGGUACCCAACAACGGUACAUUAGGAAAUUCCCCACAGCUGACUAUAAUGUCUGGGGUUUCCCACUCUCGGAUAUAACCUUGGUACCCAACAACGGUACAUUAGGAAAUUCCCCACAGCUGACUAUAAUGUCUGGGGUUUCCCACUCUCGGAUAUACCAUCUGAUGGAACUUGCAGUGAGAGAAGCUAAUUUUUGAGGAGACUUAAGUUCUUUUGCCACAAAAGGACCUUCUUCGGGCAUGUGUUGCAUGAACCAAGUAUAAAGCAAAGGAGCAUAACACAACAAAGUUCUACCCCUCUUUUCAUGUCGAGCGUGAAGGGCAUGGUAAAUGUCAGAUAAGAGAAAUGGUACUGGAUUGCCAGAGAGAAAGACUUCUAUGGCUACCUGAUCCAUAAAUUUUUCAACAUUUGGGAAGAGCAUAAUCCCAUGGAUCAAUAAAGCCAACACAGCAUAGAAUGCAUUCCAAUUUCCGCUUUUCUUGAACUUCAGAGCUAAAUCUUCCAAAAACAUCGCGGCAAAACCUUCGCAACCCCCUUUUUCAACUCAAUUGCCUCGAACAGUCGGGACAUUGAUACUUAGGGAUGAAGCUAUCUUUUUUGGGCCCGCCUCUUCUUCGAGCUUUGGAAAUGGACUGAAAUCCUUCAAUUUGAGACCCACGAUCCUCUCAACUUCUUCCAAAGUAGGAGCUAGUUGGAAAUCAGCGAAUGUGAAACAGCGUAGAGGUGGAUCAGAAUAUUGUUCCAAAGAGCCGAUAAUCCCAUAGUCAACUUUCUUAGUUAGAAGGCUCAAAAGUUUCCCAUAAUUUUUCCGAACUCAUCACGUCUACUUAGAGUCAAAUCAGAGACCAAACCCUUCAGACUGUCCAGCUUAGGUUCCUUGUACUUAAGCAUGAAAGUGUGUCUCCUUGGAGUUGUCAUUUUCAAGUUCUCAAUUCCUGAAACAAAUAAGAGACAACUAAGAGCUUGCUUUUUAUGAUGUUGAUGCAAUGUAUGUGGAUGAAUGUGAUGCAUUUUUGUAUAAGUUCAAUAGGCUUAAGGCCUGGAUAAGUCUGAUUGCUUCGUAUAGAACAUGGUUCUCACCAGGUAUGAUCUAAGGUUUCAAAAAAGUUCCUAGAGUCAGGGAUCCAUUAGACUGUUCGCUAUCGGUGGCAACUUACUUGCCGGGCAUCAACUCCAUAUAAAGAAUCUACUCUAAGUGAGGUUCUCGCAUCAAUCCAACGAGAAAUUCAUCUCGCGGACCCAUGCUACGCAACCAUCCUUCCUAGUUGGACAAAGAACUAAGGUUCUACAAAUGGCUCUCAGAGUCAUGGAUCCUAAAGAAAAUAUCGAAGCUUACGGCAACUUAUUUGCCGAGCGACAACAUCCUCUCAAGAAUCUACUCUAAGUAAGAUUCUCGCACCGACCCAACGAGAAUUCAUCUCGCGGACCCGCACUACUCAACCUCGUCCUAUCUUAUGUUUUUACUCGAGACUGGGGUAAAAAGUCUUUCCCACAAGGUUUGCAAUCAGAGUAUCUCCAAGUACCAAAGCAUAUCGAACCAAUAUAAAAGAUUUAUACCAAUAGGAUAAUAAAUAUAGCAAAACAAUAAAGAAAAAGCCACACAGGUAAACAAACAAAAGCACGCAAACGACCUAACCAGGCUUGACUCACUUAGGGAGAAUCUCGUCCCCAGCAGAGUCGCCGUCUGUCGUACCUCAAUGAAAAAUAUGAGAGUACAACUUAAGCGAAGCGCAAUCGCGCGCUCGCAAUGAUGGACUGAACAGAGUCGCCACCGAACUUUAUUUAUUCCUAAAAAGGAAAGGGGAAAUAUCGAUAAAACCCAAGAAAGAACGACAAUGUAAUACCAGCAGCGUUGGUUUAGUCCCAUCGGGAGUCGAUUACGCAAGGGGAAGGUAUUAGCACCCCUCACGUCCGUUGUACUCAACGGGAACCAUUAGGUUAAUUGUGCGCGUUAGUGUUAGCUUGGAAUGUUGGGCUUCUCGAGUUAUUAGGUGGGAAAGAAAGAAUAGAAGAGAGAAGAAUGUUUUUGGAUUUUUGACGAAGGACUAAACCUAAAAUUUUUAUUAGUGGGCCUGACAAGAUUUACAAAUCCUGCUCCUACGUAUCUCAAUAGAGGAGUCAAGGCUUACGUAGUUCUGGAUAGAAAAAAAAAUUUGUUUGUUGGUUUAUUUUAGCGAAAGCUAUAUUGUAUUAAUUGACGAAAACAUUGUUUUACCUAAAACAGAUGAGGAGCGGACGUAUACCACACAUCGAAUGGAUUUACAAAUCAACAUUCGGAAAAAACGUCACUUAUCUUGACUCAACAAUCGUGGCCGAAACAUUGUUUUGCAUCACCUUAAGACAAUAUGUAUUUCUUUUAUGAAAAAGGUUUUUGAUUAAUCAUACGACGGCGAGAAAGGGUUUGAUUGGUUGGAUGUAUUUUCGAGUAAUGCCGAGAACUUGGAUGAGCAAGAUAUCCAUCUCGAAUCCUAGUCUCAGGAGUGCGUGGUAUCCACCACGUUCCAUUUCCAUAUUAAUUGAAAACGUGUUUAAUAAAGAUUAAGUGUUUUGAAUUUGAUUGAGAAAAGGUUUGAAGAAACCGCAUUGACAAUUUUAAAUGAUGGCGAGAGCUAAGAUAGGCGAGGCAUCCACCUCGAAUCUUAAUCUCAGGAAUGCACGGUAUACACCAUGUUCCAUUUCCAUCUCUAUUGAAAGAGGUUAAGAUCGGAAUUAAGUAUUUUGAAGUUUGAAAGACGAGUACUUGUGACUUACAAGCUCUUACAGCUUGGGUCUAAUACUCGGGACAUGCGUCUGGAUAUUCCACCCAGGCAGUCUGUUUCUUUGUUAAGAAAAUGGUUCGAAUAUUUACGAAUGUUUACCUCCCUUCUGCUUAUAAAUUGGCUUGCAAGCUCUUACAGCUUGAGCCUAAUAUUCGGGAUUAUAACUGGAUAUUCCAUCCAGGAUAAUCUUUUUCUUCAACUUUAUUAAGAAGAUGGUUUGAGAUAUUUACAGGCGUUUUGGAGAGAAGACGAAUAUUUAUGGCUUACAAGCUCUUACAGCUUGAGCCUAAUAUUCGGGAUUACGACUGGAUAUUUCAUCCAAGAUAAUCUUUUUCUCCAAAUUUUAAUAAAAAAGAUACGUUUGAAUAGAAGGAUUAAUGUGAGUGUUUGAGGUGUUGGUCAAUUAAAUUGAUAUGGCGCAUGAGUUCGUGAAGAAUAUGUCCAAAAGUAAGUCGGACGAAAUAAAUAAAUAAACAAAUUAUUUAUAACAUAUUAAAAAAAUUAAAUCGGAAAGAAUAAAAUCAACAAGCGUAAAAAAAAGACUAGAUAGCAAGGUACAAAAAUGGUAAAGUAAAUAGUAAGAAGUUAUAAAAGAUUUAAAUAAAAUAGCAAGCACAAAAAUGAAAAUAUGAAGAUAUGUUAUUCCCAAGUAUGGAACUCAUCCCACUAAAGCAAGUGAAAUUGCUUCCUCUCCACUCGGCCACUUAUGUCCAUUUGUUACCUUAACAACAACUUAAAUAUAUAAAUAGGCAUAGAUAAAGAUAAAUUUAAAAUAAAAAAAAACUAGCUAAAACGAUAUGGGCCUGGGUCUGUGAAGAUUUGUCUCACCAUUAAUGGUCCAAACACAAAAAUAAGCAAAGGAGACUAACAGACCAAAACCCUAGUCGCCUGGCUGUUGGGUAUGGACUAUGAAGAUUCCCAACACUAGUAAUUGCUGUCAGUAAUUAAUAAAAGGUUAAUGCAAAAGAAAACCAACAGGUAGACUUAAAGAGGGCACAGUAAAAUAAAAGAUGACAUUAGAUGGAAUAAAGUUAUUCCCAAAACCAUUAAUCAUCACAGAGAAGUAAAGUAAACUUUUUAAACAAAAAAAAAUCAGAAGCUAUAACCAUGGACGAAAGAGGAAGCGGGAGAAACAGGGGAAUGAUCGUCCCUUUCCUUCGAUCAAAAGGUUUUUCUCUCUCAUAAACAAAACCGAUUCCCUUCUCCACUUACAGUUACAAAGAAACCUUCACAACACAAUUCAAACAUCGGCUAAGAGUAAGAUUCGAGAAUGGCACUAACCAGCUGCAACGAAGUCGGCCAACGAAUGAGCAGGUAAGAGUCUUGCUGAAUCUUCUUCACAAUGUUCCUUUCCUACGGGUUCGUCCGUUAUCAACCACCGGUCACUUUUGGUUAUUGAAAUUUUUAGGGUUUCUCCUCUCUCUUCAGUAGCCGUCAAUACUCUUCUCUAGGGUUUUUUCGUGGUCGUCCUCUGGUGGAGGAGGAGGCUCCUUUUAUACUCACCCUGUUUAGGGUUUUUGAGCUGGCUAUGGAGAUCAAAAGGGUAAUGCUUUUGGAAGUGCUUUAGGGUGCUCACAGUUUGUCUACAUUAUUCGGUGUUUGAUCUGGAACAGGUAAUACAAAUCCUAUACUUUCUUCUUUGAAUUUGUCCUAAUUCCUUUUUGGGUUAUUUGUUAACUUUUACCGCCGGUAAAUGGCUUUUUACCGCUGUGAAUUUUAUCGGAAUAUUCAUGUGUGGUUUGAUGCUUGCAGGAGAAAACGUUGAGCUUGCGAGCAUGGCUUUGAUUUUUUUUUUGUGUUGAUGCUGUGGUGUAUGGUCUUUGGAAAAAGAGUUGUGAGAUCCUGUUGAAACUAUAGCAACUUGGGGAGCGGACUGCUGUAUGUGGCCUCCAUUAGAAGAGGCAUUUGAACUAUUGUGUUUGAUUGAUUUCUGGCGAGUUGAUCCCAUAUUGUUUAAAUUUACAUGAUCUUCAACUUGUCACUGCGUCUGGGAAGAGGAAGAAGGCAUGCUUUCCAUACCCUGCGAUUGAGAAACAGAAGAUCCAUCUAACAAACCCUUUGAUGACUCCGAUUUCGUAAAAGCUCUAGCCGAAUCAGACAAUGUUGGCCAAGAGUGUGCAUCCAUAACCGGCCGUACCUCCGAAGCUGCACCAUUGGAGGAAGGCUUAAUCCAAGCAGGUCUUGUGCAUAUAUGUUCAUAGUUGAAAAAUGGUUUCCAAUUUGUCGAACAAAUUUUGAUGGCGGUUCACAAGGUGUCAUCUAUUUAGCUUUUGCUGCACCCAAAAUCCCCGUGCUACUGAAUAUAGAAGCCUUGCAAGAGUACUCAGUUGAAGGUGUGAGGUUUUCUAAUUUGAAUCUUUUCUCGGGCCUCAAAACAAUGAAAGUCGGUUGUUCGAGGUAGUCCGUUGAUGAUAUUCUGUGCCAAAGCCUGCAGCCUAGAAAGUUCUUUAAGAGUUUGUCUUUGUAUUCAAGCACAAUGACCACUGAGGUGGGAAGACACUCUUCGAAAUGUAAAGAACAUGUUGGUGCUUCUUUCUUUUCUUCACAACUAGAAAAGAGUUUAGAAAACUUUAAAUCAAAACAUUCAACUGCAGUAGAGCACAACUUCUGAACCUCAGCACCGCAUGAGAGCCUGCUCACAAUUCCACGCGUCAUCCUAGCAUAUACGUGAUCCAGAGGUCCCGCUUCAUUCUCCAAUAAUUCGAGAACGGUUUCUACGAUCUUAUGCACUUCCGUGUAUACUUUCGUUCCUGUGAGAAUUAUGUGGGCUAAGGAAAUUCGCACAGAGAGUAUAUCCACUC